rnacentral:rRNA from 1 species
GACGAACGCUAGCGGCGUGCCUAACACAUGCAAGUCGAGCGAUGAAAUUAGAUACGGAGUCUUCGGACGAAGAGGAAAAUGGAUUAGCGGCGGACGGGUGAGUAACACGUGAGCAACCUGCCUAUCACAUCGGGAUAGCCUCGGGAAACUGGGAUUAAUACCGAAUGAAACAUAAUCACUGCCUAGUGGAAAUGUCAAAGAUUUAUCGGUGAUAGAUGGGCUCGCGUCUGAUUGGCUAGGUGGUGAGGUAAUGGCUCACCAAGGCGACGAUCAGGAGCCGGCCUGGGAGGGUGAACGGCCACAUUGGGACUGGGACACGGCCCAAACUCCUACGGGAGGCAGCAGUGGGGAAUAUUGCACAAUGGAGGGAACUCUGAUGCAGCGACGCCGCGUGAGCGAUGAAGGCUUUCGAGUCGUAAAGCUCUGUCGAAUGGGAAGAUAAUGACGGUACCAUUUGAGAAAGCCCCGGCUAACUACGUGCCAGCCGCCGCCGUAC